rnacentral:rRNA from 1 species
GAUGAACGCUAGCUACAGGCUUAACACAUGCAAGUCGAGGGGCAGCAUGAACAAAGCUUGCUUUGUUUGAUGGCGACCGGCGCACGGGUGCGUAACACGUAUCCAAUCUGCCCGCGGCUCGGGGAUAGCCCAUCGAAAGAUGGAUUAAUACCCGAUGGCGUGGUUUCUCCGCAUGGAGUUUCCACUAAAGGUUUUCCGGCCGCGGAUGAGGAUGCGUAUGAUUAGGUAGUAGGCGGGGUAACGGCCCACCUAGCCUUCGAUCAUUAGGGGUUCUGAGAGGAAGGUCCCCCACACUGGAACUGAGACACGGUCCAGACUCCUACGGGAGGCAGCAGUGAGGAAUAUUGGUCAAUGGGCGAGAGCCUGAACCAGCCAAGUAGCGUGAAGGAUGACUGCCCUAUGGGUUGUAAACUCCUUUUGUUCGGGAAUAAAGUGCAGUAUGUAUACUGUUUUGUAUGUACCGUUCGAAUAAGCAUCGGCUAAUUCCGUGCCAGCCGCCGCCGUAAAAC